rnacentral:rRNA from 1 species
CCUACGGGCGGCAGCAGUGAGGAAUAUUGGUCAAUGGCCGGAAGGCUGAACCAGCCAAGCCGCGUGAAGGACGAAGGUGCCAAGCAUUGUAAACUUCUUUUGUCAAGGGACAAAAUCAGGCUCGAGAGCCUGACCGAGGGUACUUGAAGAAAAAGCAUCGGCUAACUCCGUGCCAGCAGCCGCGGUAAUACGGAGGAUGCGAGCGUUAUCCGGAUUUAUUGGGUUUAAAGGGUGCGUAGGCGGGCUGUUAAGUCAGCGGUAAAAGCCCGGGGCUCAACCCCGGCGAGCCGUUGAAACUGGCUGUCUUGAGAUGUCGAGAGGUAUGCGGAAUGCGCAGUGUAGCGGUGAAAUGCUUAGAUAUCACACAGAACACCGAUUGCGAAGGCAGCUUUCCAAGCUAUUACUGACGCUGAGGCACGAAAGCGUGGGGAGCGAACAGGAUUAGAUACCCCAGUAGUC